UGCGACUGAAACUCCAGCUCCGGCUACA
rnacentral:sRNA from 1 species